rnacentral:lncRNA from 10 species
UUAGUAGAGAAGGGGUUUCACUGUGUUAGCCAGGAUGGUCUCCAUCUCCUGACCUCGUGAUCCGCCCGCCUCGGCCUCCCAAAGUAGUGGGAUUACAGGUGUGAUAGUAUGAAUUUUCUUAUGGUUAGUAAGGAUUGAAGACUGGUUAAAGGCUUUGCCACAUUUUUCACAUUUGUAGGGUUUCUCUCCAGUGUGAAUUAUCUUAUGUUUAGUAAGAGCUGAGGACUCUUUAAAGGCUUUGCCACAUUCUCCACAUUUGUAGGGUUUCUCUCCGGUGUGCAACCUCUUAUGUCUAGUUAGGGUUGAAGAUUGGCUAAAUGCUUUGCCACAUUCUUCACAUUUGUAGGGUUUCUCUCUAGUAUGAAUUCUCUUAUGUCCAUUUAGGGUUGAGGAUGAUAUAAAUGCUUUGCCACAUUCUUCACACUUGUAAGGUUUCUCUCCAGUAUGAAUUAUCUUAUGUGUAGUAAGCUUUGAGGAUCGAUUAAAAGCUUUGCCACAUUCUUCACAUUUGUAUGGUUUCUCUCCAGUGUGCAUCCUCGUAUGUCUAGUUAGGGUUGAGGAUUGGCUAAAUGCUUUGCCACAUUCUUCACAUUUGUAGGGUUUCUCUCCAGUAUGAAUUAUCUUAUGUUCAGUAAGAGUUGAAGAUUUCCUAAAAGCUUUGCCACAUUCUUCACAUUUGUAGGGUUUCUCUCCAGUAUGAAUUAUCUUAUGUGUAGUAAGGGUUGAGGAUUGGCUAAAAGCUUUGCCACAUUCUUCACAUUUGUAGGGUUUCUCUCCAGUGUGCAUCCUCUUAUGUGUAGUAAGGUGUGAAGGCUGGCUAAAUGCUUUGCCACAUUCUUCACAUUUGUAGGUUUUCUCUCUGGUAUGAAUUCUCUUAUGUUCAGUAAGGGUUGAGGACCAGAUAAAUGCUUUGUCACAUUCUUCACUCUUGGAAGGUUUCUCUUUAGUAUGAAUUAUCUUAUGUGUCGUAAGAUUUGAAGAUUGAUUAAAAGCUUUGCCACAUUCCUCACAUUUGUAGAGUUUCUCUCCAGCAUGUAUUAUUUUAUGUUUAGCAAGGGCUGAGGAGUGCUUAAAAGCUUUGCCACAUUCUUUACAUUUGUAGGGUUUCUCUCCAGUAUGAAUUGUCUUAUGCUUAGUAAGGGUUGAGGAACGGCUAAAAGCUUUGCCACAUUCUUCACAUUUGUAGGGCUUCUCUCCAGUGUGUAUCCUCUUAUGUCUAGUUAGGGUUGAAGACCAUAUAAAUGCUUUGCCACAUUCUUUACAUUUGAAGGGGUUUCUCUCCAGUAUGAAUUAUCUUAUGUUUAGUAAGGGUUGAGGAU